UGGAAAAACAAGGGAUGAGUGAGCAACAAACACGUUGCAACAGCAGUCAGCGGGCCAAAUCAACAACGACAAUUGCACGACUGAAACCACCAUUCGAAGGCGAAUCCGUAGAUACCCGACAACCCACAAUCAAAUCCAACCCUUGCAUAGAAAAGCCAUCAGGAGGAGACAGGGAUCAUUGCAAGACAUAAAGCAAUGCAGGGAAAUUGUCGGUGCUGCAAACCAAAGCUCCGAAGCUAAAUGAGAACGGUAUACUAUUCUCUGGUUCAGGAUGCUUAUUAACUCAACGGAAGAAAGACAACCGGCAAGGAAGAACAGAUGAAUGUACAGUUGACCCAAUGUACAGUUGACCCGGCUGCACGACCGCCGGCAAACAGACUGAAAAAAAAAGAUGUUUCAUGAUACCGGCUCGGCAGUACACAGAAAAUACGCAAAACAUCAGCGGAAGAGUGGUAGUAUGAACGGAACCAAAUUGUCUGAGUUGAUGAGCGGCUUAGUAAAUUACAUACAAAAUAGCGAAUUCACAAUCAAGAACCACUAAAAGAAGAGAAAUCGCCCGUGUAGCUCAAAACAGCUAAAUCAACAGAGAAGGAAUUCGCUGCAAUUGAGUCCUCGCACAAAAGCUCACCAAAUCUGAAGAAAAGUUAACCGGAAAUGAAACCAAGACGCUGCAGAAUUUCACUCAACCCGCAAAAAGGGAACCGGUUAAUUGCACAUUGGAAGGAUCCGCCGAAUUUAAAGAGCGGGUCAGGUCACCAGAAGAUGAACGUGGAACAUAUCUUUUUUACACAGCUGAAACAAAUUCAGAAGGGCCCGUUAUAUCAACACGGAUAAAUGGGCAUAUACUUCCAAUGAAGUGUCAACUAGAGAUGAAAUCGUUGCGCUGCAGAAAAUCGCCCAACCCCAGAGCUGCAACAUGUCACUUGUAAAUUUGGAAGGACCUGCUGUUUACCGAAUGGAUCAAGUUACCAGAAGAUGAACGUAAAACCCAGCGAGUGGCCGCAUUCCGGACUUCUCGAAAUCAUCCACUUCAGAAGCCGGAACGAAUAGCCACGCUAACAGUUUUCCGUUUAAACCAGCAAAGAUAAAACAUCUGUGAGAGAUGAACAUCCAGGGAGCUUGACUAUGCGUCAAAUUGAAGAUGAGGCAAAUAUUGGAUGUCGCCAUGCCGAGACACGAAAGAACAGCAAUUUUCUCAUCAGGAAUCUGGAGCGGUUUCUGAAGAGAAGCCCAAAACAAGCAAAGAUGAGAAGUGAAGACAAAUUUAAAAUCAACCCGAGCUGAAGUAAAAUUAACGGAUUACAGCACAAGAAAAACCCGAUAAAGAAGGGGAAGACCACAGCUACAGCAAUACUGUCAGGUCAUCCGCCUACAAAACCAAGCAAACGCCUCCAGAAAAGGAUUUGCAAUUGCAACUUUCGUGAAAUGGAACAAGAAAUUUGUAUAACUAAGGCCAGAAUCAAGCGAAAGAAAUUCACAAAGAACAGAACAUCUGAGCACAAGGCCCCUCGAAAUCGCGAGAAACCAGCAAAAUGGCGUCGGUGAAAGGCGAAAGAUCGAGAGAAAGGACGGAAAGCAUAAAAAGGGGAGGAGAGACGGCGCUCCCUCUCACUGCUCCUCCGGACGUCACUCGCAAACAGUGCUCCUCCGGGCGUCACCACGCAGCCGAGAUCCAGUCAGCGCUACACUUCGCAGCAGCCUCUUCGGCGACCAUCGGUUGCAAGUGAGUCUGAAGCGGACACAUCAGAACGCAUCCUGGCCCCCUUCACCAUGUAACCACGCCUCAUAAUUCAUAUUCACCCCUAGCCGCCGGUUACAAUUAUGAUACUUGUUGGUCUUUCCGUUUGUGCGGGUGCCACCCCGGGUAUGGUCCAACCCUUUGUAGACAUUCACCGGUCGGGGGAGGGGGUUCGUUUAGUAAGUCUACAUCGCCCACCCGGUAUA